UACGGAGGGUGCAAACGUUGCUCGGAAUCAUUGGGCGUAAAGCGCACGUAGGCGGUCCAGCAAGUCGGGUGUGAAAGCCCUCGGCUUAACCGAGGAAGUGCAUUCGAAAACUACUGGGCUUGAGUACUGAAGAGGAUCGCGGAAUUCCCGGUGUAGAGGUGAAAUGCGUAGAGAUCGGGAGGAACACCCGUGGCGAAGGCGGCCAUCUGGACCAGCACUGACGCUGAGGCACGGAAAGCGAUGGGGGAGCAAACAGGGG
rnacentral:rRNA from 1 species